rnacentral:rRNA from 1 species
UAUUAUGAGAGUUUGAUCCUGGCUCAGGACGAACGCUGGCGGCGUGCCUAAUACAUGCAAGUCGAACGCUUCUUUCCUCCCGAGUGCUUGCACUCAAUUGGAAAGAGGAGUGGCGGACGGGUGAGUAACACGUGGGUAACCUACCCAUCAGAGGGGGAUAACACUUGGAAACAGGUGCUAAUACCGCAUAACAGUUUAUGCCGCAUGGCAUAAGAGUGAAAGGCGCUUUCGGGUGUCGCUGAUGGAUGGACCCGCGGUGCAUUAGCUAGUUGGUGAGGUAACGGCUCACCAAGGCCACGAUGCAUAGCCGACCUGAGAGGGUGAUCGGCCACACUGGGACUGAGACACGGCCCAGACUCCUACGGGAGGCAGCAGUAGGGAAUCUUCGGCAAUGGACGAAAGUCUGACCGAGCAACGCCGCGUGAGUGAAGAAGGUUUUCGGAUCGUAAAACUCUGUUGUUAGAGAAGAACAAGGACGUUAGUAACUGAACGUCCCCUGACGGUAUCUAACCAGAAAGCCACGGCUAAC